rnacentral:rRNA from 1 species
CCUACGGGAGACUGCAGUAGGGAAUCUUUCACAAUGGGCGAAAGCCUGAUGGAGCAACGCCGCGUGCAGGAUGAAGGCCUUCGGGUUGUAAACUGCUUUUAUAAGCGAGAAAUAUGAUGGUAACUUAUGAAUAAGGAUCGGCUAACUACGUGCCAGCAGCCGCGGUCAUACGUAGGAUCCGAGCAUUAUCCGGAGUGACUGGGUGUAAAGAGUUGCGUAGGUGGCAUAGUAAGUAGCUAGUGAAAUCUGGUGGCUCAACCAUUCAGACUAUUAGCUAAACUGUUAAUCUCGAGACCGUUAGGGGUAACUGGAAUUUCUAGUGUAGGAGUGAAAUCCGUAGAUAUUAGAAGGAACACCAAUAGCGUAGGCAGGUUGCUGGGACGGUUCUGACACUAAGGCACGAAAGCGUAGGGAGCAAACGGGAUUAGAUACCCCUGUAGUC